CCCCACCAUCACCACCACCACCACCACAGCCACCCUCCUACUGCCCCACCGGCUCACGCCCCAAGCCACCACCAUCAUCACCACCACCCCCACCCGCCGGCUCAUGCACCGGCUCACACUCCCGCUCAUGCACCUGCUCACCCACCUUCACACGUUGCUCCUGCCCACCCACCUCCACCACACGUUGCUCCUGCUCACCCACCUCCACCGCACGUUGCUCCUGCUCACCCACCUCCACCGCACGUUGCUCCUGCUCACCCACCCACACCCACCCAUCGUUUCCCUAGGAGCCUUGUUGAAGUUCAAGGCGUCGUUUAUUGCAAGUCUUGCAAGUACGCCGGAGCUGAUACCCUCCUAGGAGCUACCGCUGUUCUCGGUCAGUUUCGAACUCUUUCAAUUUAACUUUCCCUGCUUCUAACUUUUACAUACUUCGUUUUUUCUAUCAUUAUUACUUCAAUUAAUUUCACAUGUAUGUUUAGUUAUACAUCAUGCAUACAUAACAUACGUAUGGAUGCGAAUGUGCAUUUGUUUUCAUGGAUGCGGUAUGUAUACAUUUCCAGAUUUUGAAUGGAGAGAGAGAGAGAGAGAGAGGUGCUCUUGAUCUCUUUCUUUCUCUUUGUUCUAGGUUUAUGUCACAUUCAGUAGGAGGCAUGGUUAUGGCAGCAUAGCUAGCUACUUUUUCCUUUUUCAAGCUCUCUUUUUUAAGUCCUAGUAUUUAAAUUUUUAUUUAUUCUUUUAAUAUUGCCCAUGGGUUCAAUCAAGCUGAAAAAACAAAUCUUGCUUUACUCAUUCUCAAGCCACAAGAGUAUUGAGUUAAAAAAGAAAAAGAAAAAAUGACCAC
rnacentral:lncRNA from 1 species